AGGGGAAUAGCCCAGGGAAACUUGGAUUAAUGCCCCAUAGUAUUAUUGAACGGCAUCGUUUAAUAAUUAAAGAUUUAUCGGUACAAGAUGAUCAUGCGUACCAUUAGCUAGUUGGUGUGGUAACGGCACACCAAGGCUACGAUGGUUAGGGGCCCUGAGAGGGGGAUCCCCCACACUGGUACUGAGACACGGACCAGACUCCUACGGGAGGCAGCAGUGAGGAAUAUUGGACAAUGGGCGAGAGCCUGAUCCAGCCAUGCCGCGUGCAGGAAGACUGCCCUAUGGGUUGUAAACUGCUUUUAUACAGGAAGAAACACUCCCUCGUGAGGGGGCUUGACGGUACCGUAUGAAUAAGGACCGGCUAACUCCGUGCCAGCAGCCGCGGUAAUACGGAGGGUCCGAGCGUUAUCCGGAAUCAUUGGGUUUAAAGGGUCCGUAGGCGGGCGAUUAAGUCAGUGGUGAAAGUCUGCAGCUCAACUGUAGAAUUGCCAUUGAUACUGGUUGUCUUGAAUCGUUGUGAAGUGGCUAGAAUAUGUGGUGUAGCGGUGAAAUGCUUAGAUAUCACAUAGAAUACCGAUUGCGAAGGCAGGUCACUAACAACGUAUUGACGCUGAUGGACGAAAGCGUGGGGAGCGAACAGGAUUAGAUACCCUGGUAGUCCACGCCGUAAACGAUGGAUACUAGCUGUCCGAGCCACAUUGGUGGUUUGGGUGGCCCAGCGAAAGUGAUAAGUAUCCCACCUGGGGAGUACGUUCGCAAGAAUGAAACUCAAAGGAAUUGACGGGGGCCCGCACAAGCGGUGGAGCAUGUGGUUUAAUUCGAUGAUACGCGAGGAACCUUACCAGGGCUUAAAUGUAGUCUGACAGGGGUGGAAACAUCCCCUUCUUCGGACAGAUUACAAGGUGCUGCAUGGUUGUCGUCAGCUCGUGCCGUGAGGUGUCAGGUUAAGUCCUAUAACGAGCGCAACC
rnacentral:rRNA from 1 species